GACGAACGCUGGCGGCGUGCUUAACACAUGCAAGUCGAACGGAAAGGCCCUGCUUUUGUGGGGUGCUCGAGUGGCGAACGGGUGAGUAACACGUGAGUAACCUGCCCUUGACUUUGGGAUAACUUCAGGAAACUGGGGCUAAUACCGGAUAGGAGCUCCUGCUGCAUGGGGGGGGUUGGAAAGUUUCGGCGGUUGGGGAUGGACUCGCGGCUUAUCAGCUUGUUGGUGGGGUAGUGGCUUACCAAGGCUUUGACGGGUAGCCGGCCUGGGAGGGUGACCGGCCACAAUGGGACUGAGAUACGGCCCAGACUCCUACGGGAGGCAGCAGUCGGGAAUAUUGCACAAUGGGCGGAAGCCUGAUGCGGCAACGCCGCGUGCGGGAUGACGGCCUUCGGGUUGUAAACCGCUUUCGCCUGUGACGAAGCGUGCGUGACGGUAAUGGGUAAAGAAGCACCGGCUAACUACGUG
rnacentral:rRNA from 1 species